GAUGAAGAACGCAGCGAAAUGCGAUAAGUAGUGUGAAUUGCAGAAUUCCGUGAAUCAUCGAAUCUUUGAACGCACAUUGCGCCUUCUGGUAUUCCGGAAGGCAUGCCUGUUCGAGAGUCAUUAACAACCGUUUCGAUCCCUUUCUUUCAGAAAUUACAAAGAGGAAAAGGGUUUGGUUAUGGUGGAGGAGGGAAAGGGAGCGUUUAGCCUGUAAAAAAAGAGGCUGUGUUCCGCCUCCCCCCCAAAAUUGUACAGGCGGUCGUGUGCGCCCACGCAUCGAGGUGUUGUAAAAGCUGCCACGGCACUUUUCACCUGUGCAGUGCGAGAUUGGCCAGCCGGUUUAAAAACCCCUCCAAACAAUCAAAGGUUGACCUCGGAUCAGGUAGGGAUACCCGCUGAACUUAAGCAUAUCAAUAAGCGGGGA
rnacentral:misc_RNA from 1 species